UACGUAGGUGGCAAGCGUUGUCCGGAUUUACUGGGCGUAAAGAGCGCGCAGGCGGCCAAGUCAGUCGAACGUGAGAGCCCCCGGCUUAACUGGGGAGGGUCAUUCGAUACUGCUCGGCUCGAAGACAGGAGAGGGAAGCGGAAUUCCCGGUGUAGUGGUGAAAUGCGUAGAUAUCUGGAGGAACACCGGUGGCGAAGGCGGCAUCCUGGACCAAUAUUGACGCUGAGGAGCGAAAGCCAGGGGAGCAAACGGG
rnacentral:rRNA from 1 species